GACGAACGCUGGCGGCGUGCUUAACACAUGCAAGUCGAACGGAGUGGCGAACGGGUGAGUAACACGUGGGUAAUCUGCCUUGCACUUCGAGAUAAGCUUGGGAAACUGGGUCUAAUACCGGAUAGUGCAAGAUGAGCUAGCGGCCUAUCAGCUUGUUGGUGGGGUAAUGGCCUAACAAGGCGUCUACGGGUAGCCGGCCUGAGAGGGUGUACGGCCACAGUGGUACUGAGAUACGGACCAGACUCUUACGGGAGGCAGCAGUGGGGAAUAUUGCACAACGGGCGGAAGCCUGAUGCAGCGACGCCGCGUGGGUGAUGAAUGCCUUCGGGUUGGAAACUCCUUUCGACAGGUACGCGUUACCUGUAUAAGAAGCACCGGCUAACUACGUGCCAGCAGCCGCGGUAAUUC
rnacentral:rRNA from 1 species